CUUUCCUCUUCUCUUCUCUGUUUCAUUUUGGGAGAUGAAGGUUAGGUUGAUUUUGUAUGAGCGUUUAUUCUCAUGCUUGGUGUAUUGACGAACUGAGUGAGGUGGUGACGUUACUGAAGCUGAUUUAGUUCUGGAAAAGCAACGAGUUGUUAGUCUUCAUUAACAACGAUCGAUCUAAAGGAUGAACCAGUGGAUUGAGGAUCUCAAGGUAGGAGUGAUUUGCCUUCAGAAUCAGGUGGGAACUCUGUAACCUUCUUGUAAUCAUUAAGUUCCUUUUCAUAUGCGAGCAUGAUGUGCCAUUACUUCUUAUGAGAAUAUUUGUGUGUAAAUGAUUGGGUAUGUUGUGUAAUAUGCAUUGUGUGGAUUCUCCAAAUGUUAUAUCUAUUUUAAUGCUUAUUAUAGCCCAGAUGAGGCAAUAUCGUU